AUUGAACGCUAGCGGCAGGCCUAACACAUGCAAGUCGAACGAGUGGCGGACGGGUGAGUAAUGUCUGGGAACCUGCCCAAUAGCGGGGGAUAACUACUCGAAACGGUAGCUAAUACCGCAUACCAUCGGAUGUGCCCAGAUGGGAUUAGCUAGUAGGUGGGGUAACGGCUCACCUAGGCGACGAUCCCUAGCUGGUCUGAGAGGAGGACCAGCCACACUGGAACUGAGACACGGUCCAGACUCCUACGGGAGGCAGCAGUGGGGAAUAUUGCACAAUGGGCGCAAGCCUGAUGCAGCCAUGCCGCGUGUAUGAAGAAGGCCUUCGGGUUGUAAAGUACUUUCAGCGAGGAGGCGUUACUCGCAGAAGAAGCACCGGCUAACUCCGUGCCAGCAGCCGCGGUAAUAC
rnacentral:rRNA from 1 species